UUAUAUUUUAUUACUAUUAUUUUUAAUAAUUUUUUUAUUAAUUUAAGUUUUAUUAUUUUUAUUUGUUUUAGUAGUUAAUUUGAAAUAAUUUUUAUUGUUAUAGUUUAUUUGUACCGUGAGGGUUUUAUUUUAAAAGAUUUUUAGUAAAAUUAUUUUUGUACCUUUUGUAUCAGGGUAAAUCUAAUAAUUUUAUUUAUUUAUUUUUCUCGAAUUGAUUUGAUCUAAAUAUUUAUGUUUGUUAAAAUUGUAUAUUUAUUUAUUAUAUUUAUUUAGUUAUGAUAUGUUAUUCGUAAAUCAAUAUAUCUAGUUUUCUAAUAAAUGAAUUAAAUUUAGUCAUAUUUAUUUAAAUUUUUUUUUUUAAAAAUUUUUAUUUAUUUAUGGUAAUAUUUUAAGGGAUUAGCUUUAAAAUAAAUUUACAAUAUUUAAAUUUAAAAAUGUUAUGUAGGUUUUAAAUUAUCUAUCAUUAAUUAGUAUUUUAUAAUUUACUUUUUAUUUUUUUUUAUUUUUAUAUAUUUAAUUAUUUAUUUGAAUGAUUUAAAUAAUAAUUUUUUAAUUAAAAUAAUGAUUUAAUUAGUAUAAUUUUUUAUAGGAUAUUUUAUAUUGGUUAUAUAUUUAUAAGGAACUAGGCAAAAAUAUUAAUAUUCGCCUGUUUAUCAAAAACAUCUUUUCUAGUAUUUUAUUUGAGAUCUGACCUGCCCAAUGAUUUAUUUAAAUGGCCGCGGUAUUUUGACCGUGCAAAGGUAGCAUAAUCAUUAGUUUAUUAAUUGUAGACUUGUAUGAAUGGUUUUUCGAAAUAUUAACUGUCUCAUAUUUAUAAUUAAAAUUUAAAUUUUUAGUUAAAAUGCUUAAAUUUUUUUAUAGGACGAGAAGACCCUAUAGAUCUUUAUUUUUAAAUUUUAUAUUUAUUUUGGUUUAUUUUUUUAUAUUUUUUUUAUUUAUUUUGUUGGGGUGACAUGAGUAUAAAAUUAACUAUUUAUUUUAAAAAAUCAAUUAUUUUUGUUUAUUUGACCUUUUAUUAUUGUUAUAAGAUUAAGAUACCUUAGGGAUAACAGCGUAAUUCUUAUUGAGAGUUCAUAUUGACAUAAGAGAUUGCGACCUCGAUGUUGGAUUAAGAAUAUAUUUAGGUGUAGGUGCUUAAUUAUUAAGUCUGUUCGACUUUUAAAUUCUUACAUGAUCUGAGUUCAAACCGGCGUGAGCCAGGUUGGUUUCUAUCCUUAAGCUUUUUAUUUAUAUUAGUACGAAAGGACCAUAUAAAUUAAAUAUUUUAUUAAUUUGAUUAUUAUU
rnacentral:rRNA from 1 species